rnacentral:lncRNA from 1 species
AAAAGGAGAAGCAGCAACGGCUGCUCUGCUUCCUUCCCAUCUCGCUCUUGGGUCAUGCCUGGCCAGCAGAAAGCAGCUCCAUAGGGGAGGAGAGCCACGCAGGAUCUCACAGCUGCAGUCUAAUAGUAACACAGAGGUGGAGAUAAAAUGAGUAAUCGCCACUCUCUCUGCAUUCUUCACGAUGCCUUAGUGGAAGGCAGGAGAAGCCCUGGGACCAAAAUGCGUUUACCACCUGACACAAGCACUGAGAACAGCAGCAGGUUUACAGGUGUCCAAUCAUUCAGUUUCCAGCAUGCUUUCACAUACACGCCCUCCUCAGCCCCACCCUCUUCAACAUAAGUAGCAGAAUUUUAAAAGAAUUCAACAUGGUCAGAUUUUGCAAAGACAAUCUCCAGUCAUGAUCUUGGUAAAUACAUUGUAAUUCCUUACUUCAAAAUUUCCAUAUAAAUUCUGUAAGUAUAAUGGAG